rnacentral:rRNA from 1 species
GUCUACGGCCAUACCACCCUGAGCAAGCCCGAUCCCGUCUGAUCUUGGAAGCCAAGCAGGAUCAGGCCUGGUUAGUACUUGGAUGGGAGACCACCUAGGAAGACCAGGUGCUGUAAGCG